AAACCAGCACCUCAAGUGGUCAGGAUGAUUAUUGGGCCUAAAGCAUCCGUAGCCGGCGCUGUAAGUUUUCGUUUAAAUCUGUACGCUUAACGUACAGGCUGCUGGGAAUACUGCAAUGCUAGGGAGUGGGAGAGGUAGACGGUACUCGGGAGGAAGUGGUAAAAUGCUUUGAUCUCUCGAUGAACACCUGUGGCGAAGGCGGUCUACCAGAACACGUCCGACGGUGAGGGAUGAAAGCUGGGGGAGCAAACCGGAUUAGAAACCCCGGUAGUCC
rnacentral:rRNA from 1 species